UGAGGAAUAUUGGUCAAUGGACGCAAGUCUGAACCAGCCAUGCCGCGUGAAGGAUGACGGCCUUCUGGGUUGUAAACUUCUUUUAUUGGGGAAGAAACCUCCGAUUUUUAUUGGGGCUGACGGUACCCAAGGAAUAAGCACCGGCUAACUCCGUGCCAGCAGCCGCGGUAAUACGGAGGGUGCAAGCGUUAUCCGGAUUUACUGGGUUUAAAGGGUGUGUAGGCGGAUUGUUAAGUCAGUGGUGAAAUCUCCAGGCUCAACCUGGAAACUGCCGUUGAUACUAUCAGUCUUGAAUUCUGUUGAGGUAGGCGGAAUAUGUCAUGUAGCGGUGAAAUGCUUAGAGAUGACAUGGAACACCGAUUGCGAAGGCAGCUUACUAAGCAGAGAUUGACGCUGAGGCACGAAAGCGUGGGGAUCAAACAG
rnacentral:rRNA from 1 species